GCCGAAGUGGUGGAAUUGGUAGACACGCUAGGUUCAGGGUCUAGUGAGCGUUCGCUCGUGGGAGUUCGACUCUCCCCUUCGGCACCA
rnacentral:tRNA from 1 species